rnacentral:lncRNA from 1 species
GGACCACCCAGUAGCUAGAUGUGGACUUUCGAGGCCUCGGACCCCGUUCCAAGUCCGACCGUCCCUUUCCAGGCCAUUGUGCCUUUCUUCGGCGUUUUGGGACGGAACCAAGAAACCGAGUCUGGGGCGUCACCGCUCGGCUUUUGUGGGCAAGAAACUUCGAGAUCACUCAGAAUCGGACCACCCAGUAGCUAGAUGUGGACUUUCGAGGCCUCGGACCCCGUUCCAAGUCCGACCGUCCCUUUCUAGGCCAUUGUGCCUUUCUUCGGCGUUUUGGAACGGAACCAAGAAACCGAGUCUGGGGCGUCACCGUUCGGCUUUUGUGGGCAAGAAACUUUGAGAUCACUCAGAAUCGGACCACCCAGUAGCUAGAUGUGGACUUUCGAGGCCUCGGGACCCCCGUUCCAAAGUCCGACCGUCCCUUUCCAGGCCAUUGUGCCUUUUUCGGCGUUUUGGGACGGAACCAAGAAACCGAGUCUGGGCGUCACCGUUCGGCUUUUGUGGGCAAGAAACUUCGAGAUCACUCAGAAUCGGACCACCCAGUAGCUAGAUGUCGACUUUCGAGGCCUCGGACCCCGUUCCAAGUCCGACCGUCCCUUUCUAGGCCAUUGUGCCUUUCUUCGGCGUUUUGGGACGGAACCAAGAAACCGAGUCUGGGGCGUCACCGUUCGGCUUUUGUGGGCAAGAAACUUCGAGAUCACUCAGAAUAGGACCACCCAGUAGCUAGAUGUGGACUUUCGAGGCCUCGGACCCCGUUCCAAGUCCGACCGUCCCUUUCCAGGCCAUUGUGCCUUUCUUCGGCGUUUUGGGACGGAACCAAGAAACCGAGUCUGCGGCGUCACCGUUCGGCGUUUUGUGGGCAAGAAACUUCGAGAUCACUCAGAAUCGGACCACCCAGUAGCUAGAUGUGGACUUUCGAGGCCUCGGACCCCGUUCCAAGUCCGACCGUCCCUUUCCAGGCCAUUGUGCCUUUCUUCGGCGUUUUAGGACGGAACCAAGAAACCGAGUCUGCGGCGUCACCGUUCGGCUUUUUGUGCGGCAAGAAACUUCGAGAUCACUCAGAAUCGGACACCCCAGUAGCUAGAUGUGGACUUUCGAGGCCUCGGACCCCGUUCCAAGUCCGACCGUCCCUUUCUAGGCCAUUGUGCCUUUCUUCGGCGUUUUGGGACGGAACCAAGAAACCGAGUCUGCGGCGUCACCGUUCGGCUUUUGUGGGCAAGAAACUUCGAGAUCACUAAGAAUGGAUCGGACCACCCAGUAGCUAGAUGUGGACUUUCGAGGCCUCGGACCCCGUUCCAAGUCCGACCGUCCCUUUCUAGGCCAUUGUGCCUUUCUUUCGGCGUUUUGGGACGGAACCAAAGAAACCGAGUCUGGCGGCGUCACCGUUCGGCUUUUGUGGGCAAGAAACUUCGAGAUCACUCAGAAAUCGGACCACCCAGUAGCUAGAUGUGGACUUUCGAGGCCUCGGACCCCGUUCCAAGUCCGACCGUCCCUCUUCAGGCCAUUGUGCCUUUCUUCGGCGUUUUGGGACGGAACCAAGAAACCGAGUCUGGGGCGUCACCGUUCGGCUUUUGUGGGCAAGAAACUUCGAGAUCACUCAGAAUCGGACCACCCAGUAGCUAGAUGUGGACUUUCGAGGCCUCGAACCCCGUUCCAAGUUCCGACCGUCCCUUUCCAGGCCAUUGUGCCUUUCUUCGGCGUUUUGGGACGGAACAAGAAACCGAGUCUGGGCGUCACCGUUCGGCUUUUGUGGGCAAGAAACUUCGAGAUCACUCAGAAUCGGACCACCCAGUAGCUAUUAGUGGACUUUCGAGGCCUCGGACCCCGUUCCAAGUCCGACCGUCCCUUUCUAGGCCAUUGUGCCUUUCUUCGGCGUUUUGGGACGGAACCAAGAAACCGAGUCGGGGCGUCACCGUUCGGCUUUUGUGGGCAAGAAACUUCGAGAUCACUCAGAAUCGGACCACCCAGUAGCUAGAUGUGGACUUUCGAGGCCUCGGACCCCCGUUCCAAGUCCGACCGUCCCUUUCUAGGCCAUUGUGCCUUUCUUCGGCGCUUUGGGACGAACCAAGAAACCGAGUCUGGGGCGUCACCGUUCGGCUUUUGUGGGCAAGAAACUUCGAGAUCACUCAGAAUCGGACCACCCAGUAGCUAGAUGUGGACUUUCGAGGCCUCGGACCCGUUCCAAGUCCGACCGUCCCUUUCCAGGCCAUUGUGCCUUUCUUCGGCGUUUUGGGACGGAACCAAGAAACCGAGUCUGCGGCGUCACCGUUCGGCUUUUGUGGGCAAGAAACUUCGAGAUCACUAAGAAUCGGACUCGGACCACCCAGUAGCUAGAUGUGGACUUUCGAGGCCUCGGACCCCGUUCCAAGUCCGACCGUCCCUUUCUAGGCCAUUGUGCCUUUUCUUUGCGUUUUGGGACGGAACCAAGAAACCGAGUCUGGGCCGUCACCGUUCGGCUUUUGUGGGCAAGAAACUUCGAGAUCACUCAGAAUCGGACCACCCAGUAGCUAGAUGUGGACUUUCGAGGCCUCGGACCCCGUUCCAAGUCCGACCGUCCCUUUCUAGGCCAUUGUGCCUUUCUUCGGCGUUUUGGGACGGAACCAAGAAACCGAGUCUGGGGCGUCACCGUUCGGCUUUUGUGGGCAAGAAACUUCGAGAUCACUCAGAAUCGGACCACCCAGUAGCUAGAUGUGGACUUUCGAGGCCUCGGACCCCGUUCCAAGUUCGACCGUCCCUUUCCAGGCCAUUGUGCCUUUCUUCGGCGUUUUGGGACGGAACCAAGAAACCGAGUCUGGGCGUCACCGUUCGGCUUUUGUGGGCAAGAAACUUCGAGAUCACUCAGAAUCGGACCACCCAGUAGCUAGAUGUGGACUUUCGAGGCCUCGGACCCGUUCCAAGUCCGACCGUCCCUUUCUAGGCCAUUGUGCCUUUCUUCGGGUUUGGGACGGAACCAAGAAACCGAGUCUGGGCGUCACCGUUCGGCUUUUGUGGGCAAGAAACUUCGAGAUCACUCAGAAUCGGACCACCCAGUAGCUAGAUGUGGACUUUCGAGGCCUCGGACCCCGUUCCAAGUCCGACCGUCCCUUUCCAGGCCAUUGUGCCUUUCUUCGGCGUUUUGGGACGGAACCAAGAAACCGAGUCUGGGGCGUCACCGUUCGGCUUUUGUGGGCAAGAAACUUCGAGAUCACUCAGAAUCGGACCACCCAGUAGCUAGAUGUGGACUUUCGAGGCU